GAAGCCUUCCUUACACAUUUAAAUUACACCACCAAUUUGGAUCACAAAUAAAAUAAAAUGCAAAAAAAAAUAGUUGUCCCAUUCAUAAAGUAUUCAAACCAGUUUAGACAACCUUCUUAGUCAAUGUUUUUAUUUUUUUAAUGUUUUUCUGUUUUAUAAAUAAAUACUGAAGUGGUCCAGACUAAGAAGGAACACAUAAGGAAUUAUGUAGCAAUUUAAAAGUGUUAAACAAACCAAAAACAUAUAGGUGCUCUUAUCUGAGGUGCUGUUAACUUGUGGUUUCUGAACUUAUUCCGUACAAAAGAGGAAAGUCUUGCUCUUCCUUUCCAUGAGAGCCAGUUGCAUCAUAACAUUUUAAAGGUCUUUGCCACUGGACUUGUUUUGGUACACUAUGGGUUGUAAACAGUGGCAUUUAAUAAACUUCUUUUGCCGUUUUAAAUUUAUAAAUGGCUCGUUUUUAAUGUCAGGGCUCUUUGGAUUCUACCAGUGAAGUGUGGAGCUACUUUGAGCUGGAUAAGGUUGAAAAAAGUGAUUUAUCUGGAUUUCAGAAAGCUGCGGGAGAGCGGAGGUGAGCUUAUUCAACAAAGCCCAGAGCUUAGCACUGAUGCUAAUUUCCCCCCAAAGUAGAGAUGAUGAUUUUGCCUCAAUCUCUUCCAAGCAAGAUCUCACAACAUCACAGACGGAUCUUCAGGCCCACAGGAGACACGGACAGAACGAGCUAUCAGAAAGCAUCUCAUCAGGCACGGUCCAGGGCUUUCUCACGCUUGUUUGUGGGAUGAUGGGCUAAUCCAUGCAGAAUGAGCACAUUUGACCAUCAUGGCUAAGCUCCAGUGGCUUUUUGGGUGAAGGGCUGUCUCUCGUUUCUAUGUGAUCCUGUCCUCCAGGGACUUCCUGACGCUUGAACUCGUGAGAUAUUGACGUUUUUUGUAGCUCAUAUUGAAAGAUUUACUUAAUGGAAGAAUGUGAGUCCUCUGAGACGCUGAUGACCGUUCUUCUUUUCAUUUUUCUCAGUUUGAUUAACGAUGCGAGGUCAUUGGCUGUUAAAUGCCUAGGCUACAGUGUCCAUACAAGCAGCACAUGGGCACUAAUUCCACUACUCUUAUGGGUCAAUGUUAAUAUAAUGUGUUAAAUAUUUUGUGUCUGCAACAUAGGUUUAAAAGAAAUUUCAUGUAUACACUGUGAAACAAUACAGAUUAGGAUUUGCUCUGAAAGAACUCUGUACUUUAUAUAAAACAGUGAACUUUAAGAACUUUAUGCACUCAUUCACUUUACCAGCCUUAAGCUAUUAUACCAUAUUUGCACUACUAUUUUUAUGGGUUCUGUUUAUACUUGUAUUGUCAUCCUAUUUUAAUCUCCCCAUCACUAUUGCACUAUUGUCUUUUGUCUAUUUGUGUCCUUGUUGUAUUGUACAUAUAGUGUCUCCCAUUCUUU
rnacentral:lncRNA from 1 species